AGAGUUUGAUCCUGGCUCAGAGCGAACGCUGGCGGCAGGCCUAACACAUGCAAGUCGAACGGAUCCUUCGGGAUUAGUGGCGGACGGGUGAGUAACACGUGGGAACGUGCCCUUUGGUUCGGAACAACUCAGGGAAACUUGAGCUAAUACCGGAUGUGCCCUUCGGGGGAAAGAUUUAUCGCCAUUGGAGCGGCCCGCGUCUGAUUAGCUAGUUGGUGGGGUAAAGGCCCACCAAGGCGACGAUCAGUAGCUGGUCUGAGAGGAUGAUCAGCCACAUUGGGACUGAGACACGGCCCAAACUCCUACGGGAGGCAGCAGUGGGGAAUCUUGCGCAAUGGGCGAAAGCCUGACGCAGCCAUGCCGCGUGAAUGAUGAAGGUCUUAGGAUUGUAAAAUUCUUUCACCGGGGACGAUAAUGACGGUACCCGGAGAAGAAGCCCCGGCUAACUUCGUGCCAGCAGCCGCGGUAAUACGAAGGGGGCUAGCGUUGCUCGGAAUUACUGGGCGUAAAGGGAGCGUAGGCGGACUGUUAAGUUAGAGGUGAAAGCCCAGGGCUCAACCUUGGAAUUGCCUUUGAUACUGGCAGUCUUGAGUACGGAAGAGGUAUGUGGAACUCCGAGUGUAGAGGUGAAAUUCGUAGAUAUUCGGAAGAACACCAGUGGCGAAGGCGACAUACUGGUCCGUUACUGACGCUGAGACUCGAAAGCGUGGGGAGCAAACAGGAUUAGAUACCCUGGUAGUCCACGCCGUAAACGAUGAGUGCUAGUUGUCGGCAUGCAUGCAUGUCGGUGACGCAGCUAACGCAUUAAGCACUCCGCCUGGGGAGUACGGUCGCAAGAUUAAAACUCAAAGGAAUUGACGGGGGCCCGCACAAGCGGUGGAGCAUGU
rnacentral:rRNA from 1 species